rnacentral:siRNA from 1 species
UUAAGAUGGUGUUUGAUCUUGG